UUGAGAGUUUGAUCCUGGCUCAGGAUGAACGCUGGCGGCGUGCCUUAAGCAUGCAAGUCGAACGGGCCCGCAAGGGUCAGUGGCGGACGGUUGAGUAAUAGGCGGGAAUCUACCUCGAAGUGGGACAUAGCCAGCCGAAAGGUUGGGUAAUUUCCCAUGUGAUCGCAAGAUCAAAGCCGCAAGGCGCUUUGAGAUGAGCCUGCCUCCUAUCAGCUUGUUGGUGGGGUAAUGGCCUACCAAGGCAACGACGGGUAGCUGGUCUGAGAGGAUGGUCAGCCAGAGUGGGACUGCGACACGGCCCACACACCUACGGGUGGCAGCAACUAGGAAUCUUGGGCAAUGGGCGAAAGCCUGACCCAGCGACGCCGCGUGGAGGAUUGACGGCCUUCGGGUUGUAAACUCCUUUUAUCUGGGAAGAUUAUGACGGUACCAGAUGAAUAAGCACCUGCUAACUACGUGCCAGAAGCCUCGGUAAUACGUAGGGUGCAAGCGUUAUCCGGAUUUAUUGGGCGUAAAGAGUAGCGUAGGCGGUCCGAUGCAUUUUGCUUGAAAGCCCAUGGCUUAACCAUGGUUUUGGGCAAAAUAUGAUCGGACUUGAAGGUACAAUAGGGUGUUGGAACCGAUCGUGGAGCGGUGAAAUGCGUUGAUAUGAUCGGGAACGCCAAAGGUGUAGACAGACACCUGGUGUAUUCUUGACGCUUAGGCACGAAAGCUUGGGGAGCGAAGCAGAUUAGAGACCUGCGUAGUCCAAGCCGUAAACAAUGUCCGCUAGUUAUUGGCCUUUUUGGUCAGUGACGAAGUUAACACGUUAAGCGGACCGCCUGGGGAGUACGAGCGCAAGCUUAAAACUCAAAGGAAUUGACGGGGAGGCGCACAAGCAGUGGAGCGUGUGGUUUAAUUCGAUACCAAGCGAAGAACCUCACCAGGGCUUGACAUGCUAGAGUUCUAUCCCGCCGAAAGGCGGGAAAUCCGCAAGGAGGCUAGCACAGAUGCUGCAUGGCUGUCGUCAGCUCGUGGCGUGGGGUCUGAAAAAAGGCCCAUCGCGCCCGUUGAUAGUAAUGUCAAAUGGAAAAUUCGGCUCAUAUCGGUGAAUCUACUUGAUAUUCGGAUUAGCUUCGGAUAUUGUAAUAAGUAGUAAUACCGAGGGAAGUCGGGAAGAUGAUUUUCACUGCUCGUAAGAACUUAAAACUUGAUGUUUCUGAUAAACAAGUAGAGAUCCUUAUUGGUUGCUUAUUAGGAGAUGCUUAUCUUACAAAGUUAGGCAAAAUCCAAAUUGAGCAGUCAGAUAAGCAAGAAGAGUAUAUAAAAUGGAAGCAUCAAGAGCUAGCUUCGAUAAGUUAUUCCGGUUUAAAAGAGGUUGUCCGUUUUGAUAAACAGGACAAACGUGUUACAAAAUCCUUUCGAUUUUGGACUCGACAAUUCUUCAAAAGCUGGAGAGAUAUAUUCUAUCGAGGAGGUUGUAAAGUAUUCCCAAAAGAGUUAAAAGAACUAAUAACCCCAUUAGCUAUUGCUGUUUGGUAUAUGGAUGAUGGGAGUUAUGACAUGAAAUCUAACUAUAUGUUUUCAACAGAAUCAUUUGAUUUACAAAGUCGAAUAGAUUUAUUAAGAAAACUUGAGUUUUGGGAGGUAGAAGCAACCUUAAAAAAUAGUGGCAAGUUACGAAUUAGGAGUAAAAGUCUUAAAAAGUUCUUCGAGUUAGUGGGACCAUAUGUUCAUCAAAGUAUGAAAUAUAAACUUCCUUGACCCUGUAACGACUGAUAUGGAAGGUACCAGAUAAUCUGGAUCAAAACUUCCAUUACACGCCGGACUCCGUACCGUAAAGUCGACGGAGAUGGGAUAGUCUAAUUUUUGCUAAAUGCAAAUUUGGAGCUGUAUCAUUAAGUUGAGUAACGAGCGCAACCCUCACCGUAUGUUAAAUAAUUCAUACGGAACUGACCCGAUUUUUCGGGUAGGAAGGCGGGGAUGACGUCAAGUCAGCACGGCUCUUACGCCCUGGGCAACACACACCCUACAAUGGCGAAUAACAACGAGUUGCAAGCCGGUAACGGCAAGCUAAUCUCUGAAAUUUCGCCCCAGUUCAGAUCGAGGUCUGAAACCCGACCUCGUGAAGUCGGAAUUGCUAGUAAUCGCGAAUCAGCAGGUCGCGGUGAAUACGUUCUCGCCUCUUGUACACACGUCCUAUAGCAUAGGAAUAAAUGCGCGCCUAGCAGCUUACUAAGCAAGGUGGUUUAAAUCCAUCCUUGUAGCUAAAAAAAUUUGGCAGAGACAAUUUGGUGACAGAUGUCUUGGAGGGCCUGAAGCAAAAGGCAGCCUAACAUUUAACAGAAGUUCGACCCCUACGGUGUGUUAGUGGGGAAGAACAUUAAAAAUUCUGGUUAGGAUGUCUGGAAUUGUUUAGUAAGUGACCUAGGGAGAUCUCUUCUUGACAUUUGGGUAAUAUUCGGGCUAUCUUAAUAUUAAGAUGUCCUUGAAGAAGAGAAGUCAGCUGAUCCAUAGUACUACGUUUAGUUAUAUGAAUGUAGGAAGGGAGAAACCUGAAAGUUUGUCUGAUGAUUAUAUUAUUGGCUUAACUGAUGGAGAGGGAUGUUUUUAUGUCGAUAUUAGAGCUCCAAAAGGAGAAUAUAAAUCUUAUCGAGUAGAACUUCAUUUUUUCAUUAAAUUAAGGGAAGAUGAGCUUUUAUUAUUACAAAAAGUUCAAAAAUUUAAAGAACUAUUUGCUAUUUCGUCGAAUUGCCUUAAUGGUUAAAAAUGGCGAACAUAGAAGUAAUAAAGGCUUAAUAAAAAUCCAGCAGAUAAAGUCACAGAUGAAUAACAGGGCUCGCCCGGUGCGGGAAAUCCGCUCGCCGGGUGGGAACUCGAAGUAACCCAAACUAUCGAAAUCCGCCCGUCACGGCAGCAAAGUUGGGGGCACCCGAAGUCUGAUGUAUGUCGGACGAAGGUGAAACCAGCGAUGAGGCUGAAGUCGUAACAAGGUAUCCCUAGCCGAAGCUGGGGAUGGAUCACCUCCUU
rnacentral:rRNA from 2 species